GGGUUGUGAGGUUAAGCGACUAAGCGUACACGGUGGAUGCCCUGGCAGUCAGAGGCGAUGAAGGACGUGCUAAUCUGCGAUAAGCGUCGGUAAGGUGAUAUGAACCGUUAUAACCGGCGAUUUCCGAAUGGGGAAACCCAGUGUGAUUCGUCACACUAUCAUUAACUGAAUCCAUAGGUUAAUGAGGCGAACCGGGGGAACUGAAACAUCUAAGUACCCCGAGGAAAAGAAAUCAACCGAGAUUCCCCCAGUAGCGGCGAGCGAACGGGGAGCAGCCCAGAGCCUGAAUCAGUGUGUGUGUUAGUGGAAGCGUCUGGAAAGGCGCGCGAUACAGGGUGACAGCCCCGUACACAAAAAUGCACAUACUGUGAGCUCGAUGAGUAGGGCGGGACACGUGGUAUCCUGUCUGAAUAUGGGGGGACCAUCCUCCAAGGCUAAAUACUCCUGACUGACCGAUAGUGAACCAGUACCGUGAGGGAAAGGCGAAAAGAACCCCGGCGAGGGGAGUGAAAAAGAACCUGAAACCGUGUACGUACAAGCAGUGGGAGCACAGAGCAAUC
rnacentral:rRNA from 1 species